rnacentral:rRNA from 1 species
UAUCUCUGUAGAGUCUGCAUAUCAAUAAGCGGAGGAAAAGAAACUAACUAGGAUUCCCUCAGUAACGGCGAGUGAAGCGGGAAGAGCUCAAAUUUGAAAUCUUCAAGGUUCUACCUUGACGAAUUGUAGUUUAAAGAAGUGUUUUCUGUUGGAAUUUUGGGUAAAAGUUCUUUGGAAAUAGGACAUCAAUAGAGGGUGAGAAUCCCGUAUUUGACCAUUAUUUCCAGCUCUGUGAUACACUUUCAAAGAGUCGGAUAGUUUGGGAAUGCAGUCCAAAAUGGGUGGUAAAUUUCAUCUAAAGCUAAAUACUGGCGAGAGACCGAUAGCGAACAAGUACCGUGAGGGAAAGAUGAAAAGAACUUUGAAAAGAGAGCUAAACAGUACGUGAAAUUGUCAAAAGGGAAGCGUUUGACACCAGUGUUGUUUUCUCGAAAAUCAAUUAAAAAUGCUGGAUUUUGUGUUGUAUUGACUUUAUCAGCUUUCUGCACUUUUUCUUGUCUUUUUUAAUGCACUUUUCGUUUAACAAGUCAACAUCAAUUUCUUUUGUUGUAAAAGGGUCAUUGGAAGGUGGCUUUCUUUUCGGAGAAAGUGUUUAUAGCCUUUGACUUCUGCAAUCGGAGAGAUUGAGGUCUGCAGCGUAGAUCCUUCGGGGUUAGAUACAUUAGAUGCUAAGUUAUAGCUUUUUAUAGACAACUUGUUGACUAUGAUUAAGUCAUGUAGCUUACUCGUUUACGCUAUUUUACCUACGCUUAGGAUGUUGAUCUCUCACAGUCGAGC